rnacentral:rRNA from 1 species
AUUGAACGCUGGCGGCAGGCCUAACACAUGCAAGUCGAACGAGUGGCGGACGGGUGAGUAAUGUCUGGGCAACUGCCCGAUGGAGGGGGGUAACUACUGGAAACGGUGGCUAAUACCGCAUACCAUCGGAUGUGCCCCGAUGGGCUUAGCUAGUAGGUGGGGUAACGGCUCACCUAGGCGACGAUCCCUAGCUGGUCUGAGAGGAUGACCAGCCACACGGGAACUGAGAAAGGGUAAGACUCCUACGGGAGGCAGCAGUGGGAAAUAUUGCACAAUGGGCGCAAGCCUGAUGCAGCCAUGCCGCGUGUAUGAAGAAGGCCUUCGGGUUGUAAAGUACUUUCAGCGAGGAGGCGUUACUCGCAGAAGAAGCACCGGCUAACUCCGUGCCAGCAGCCGCGGUAAUAC